AAAGACUAAUCGAACCAUCUAGUAGCUGGUUCCCUCCGAAGUUUCCCUCAGGAUAGCUGGAACAAUUAUGCAGUUUUAUCAGGUAAAGCGAAUGAUUAGAGGUCUCAGGACUAUUAUGGUCUUGUCCUAUUCUCAAACUUUAAAUUGGUAAGAACUCUUUGUUCUCUUAACUGAACAUUGAGACAGAAUGCGUGUUCCUAGUGGGCCAUUUUUGGUAAGCAGAACUGGCGAUGAGGGAUGAACCUAACGUUGAGUUAAGGUGCCCAACUAUACGCUCAUGAGAUACCACAAAAGGUGUUGAUUCAUCUAAACAGCAGGACGGUGGACAUAAAAGUCGUCAUCCGCUAAGGAGUGUGUUACAACUCACCUGCCGAAUGAAUUAGCCCUGAAAAUGGAUGGCGCUAAAGCGUAUG
rnacentral:rRNA from 1 species